rnacentral:rRNA from 1 species
GAUGAACGCUAGCUACAGGCUUAACACAUGCAAGUCGUGGGGCAUCAUGAUGUAGUAAUACAUUGAUGGCGACCGGCGCACGGGUGAGUAACGCGUAUCCAACCUACCCUCCACUCAAGUAUAGGCUUCCGAAAGGGAGAUUAAUCCUUGAUAUCGUCAUUCUCUCUCCUGUUAGAAUGAUAAAAGGACAUCGUUUCGGUAGAGGAUGGGAAUGCGCUCCAUUAGGUAGUAGGUGGUUUAACAGGCCACCUAGCCGAUGAUGGAUAGGGGUUCUGAGAGGAAUAUCCCCCACACUGGUACUGAGAUACGGACCAGACUCCUACGGGAGGCAGCAGUGAGGAAUAUUGGUCAAUGGGCGCAAGCCUGAACCAGCCAUGUAGCGUGAAGGAUGACAGUUUUUUUGAUUGUAAACUUCUUUUCUGUGCGAUUAAAGUGUGGCAUUUAUGCCAUAUGGCAGUAUCUCAGG